GCAGGGCAGACCAAACUCUACAUUUCCCAAGAGAGGAUGGAGAAUAUUCGGGAGGUCGAGAGAAGGGGUUUCAUUUGAAUCUUUGCCCAGAAAGACACAUUGGAAAAAAUGACUAUUGACAUACAAAUCCUUCAACAUGCUGGCUUGCCAUCUAUCUACAAAGUAGCCAUCACAGCCGGAAUCCAGCUGUAGUGGACUUGGGCAACAACACAGCGCUUUGAGUGAACGCUGCCAUUGCAUUGCAGACAACCAAACCUGUGAGAUGACACAAGUCAGUCCAUCCACUUGAUAGUUCUACAGGAACUAGGGUACAAAUCCAAGGCACUUUUUUUUUUACACUGAGAACCAGAAUACUGUCA